rnacentral:tRNA from 1 species
GGAUUGUGAAUCCACCAUGCGCG